GCAACAGUUGCAGAGCUGAAGAAUGCAGUUCGCUUAUUCAGUCUAUUGUCUGCAGCUUCAAAUCUUCAUGUUCAUGGAUUUGAUGAGAAAAAAAUCGAAACUCAUGUUGGAUACUGCAAGCAUUUGCUUGAGGCUGCAAAAGUUCAUUGCGAGGCAGCUGAGCGUGAAGAUCAACAGAAUAAGCAGAGAAUAGAACUUGCUCGUCAGGUCACAUUAGCUGAAGAAAAUCGUAGAAAAGCCGAGGAACAGAGAAAAUAUCAACUUGAGCGACGAAAACAAGAGGAUGAACUCAAGCAAGUGAUGCAGCAAGAGCAGCAUUUAGAGCGUAUUAAGGAACAAUGGAAAAGCAGUACUCCUGCCUCUAAGCGGAAAGACAGGCCCCAGAAUGAAGAUGACGAGGGCGGGCAUGGUGAGAGGAGGAGGAAGAAAGGUGGGAAGCGGAGAAAGAGGGACAAGAAGUCUCAUUACGAAUAUGAGGAAGCAGAAGCUGAGAUGGAUGAUCAGGAAGAAAUGGAUGAUGUUGACCGUAACAGAAAUUAUGAAGAAUCUUAUGAUCAAACAAAUGAUCAUGAUGAUCAAGCAGAGAAUAAUCCACAGGAUCUACUUGCAGCAGCUGGACUUGAAGAUUCCGAUGCCGAGGAUGACACUGUUGUACCUUCAUCAAAUGCAAGUCGGCGAAGGCAGGCACUGUCAGAAUCAGAUGAGGACGAGCCAUUGCAGAGGCAGGGAAGUGACGGAGAAGAUGGAGAAAAUGUUGCUGCAGAUGAUGAUGAAUGAAGAUGGAAUACAUCAACAAUUCCUAGUUUGGUUGAUGACAAGAUUGUCAAUAUUCCUUACCUUUGUGUCAAACACAGUGGGAUUUCUGUUGCCUCUUUCUAGGCCUGGCUGCGUUAUAGUUUUUGUUUCCUGGGGUAGCCUGGGUUAUUGGUAGGAAGAAAUGGUAAAUGUAGCUUAAGUUCUAGACAAACAGCUAUACUGUAAAUGCACAAGCUUAACAGCUACCCAUUUGUUUUGAUGGGGUUGUUUGAUAGGGGUGUACAAGAAAAAUGCUAAAUUGAGUGUAUUAGUAAUAGUAAUGCUU
rnacentral:misc_RNA from 1 species